UACGUAGGGGGCGAGCGUUGUCCGGAAUUAUUGGGCGUAAAGAGCGUGUAGGCGGUUCGGUAAGUCUGCCGUGAAAACCUGGGGCUCAACCCCAGGCGUGCGGUGGAUACUGCCGGGCUAGAGGGUGGUAGAGGCGAGUGGAAUUCCCGGUGUAGCGGUGAAAUGCGCAGAUAUCAGGAGGAACACCAAUUGCGAAGGCAGCUCGCUGGGACGUUACUGACGCUGAGACGCGAAAGCGUGGGGAGCAAACAGG
rnacentral:rRNA from 1 species